rnacentral:lncRNA from 1 species
ACAGGUAGAGAGGUAUGAGAAAGGAUUUUGCAGAAAUUGGAUGUGCUGCUGUACUCCUGUAAUCCCAGGCCCUGGGAAGUGGGGGCAGGAGGAUCACUACCCAUCCUUAGCUACUUGGUGAGUUUGAUGCCAAACUAUGCCACAUGGGACCAGGUCUCAAACAAAACAAGCUUGCUUUGCGGUUUGCCUACAUCUUAGAAGGCUAUUUAUUCUACUGAUAACAGCAGAAGAAGUUGUACUGGGUAACUAUCUUUUUGUUUUUCCGGCUGUACAAUUUGAAAAAUGUAAUUGAAGGUAAUUUACAGAGUAUCAAGGAGUAGUUUUAUUUUGUUUCAUUUUUGUUUUUCUUAACACAGGAUAAGUACUUAUAUUCUUGGGUCUCUCCAUCCAGAGGCAACCAUUAUUAACAUUCUGUUAUUCUUUUAUCUGUUUUUUGUCCACUUAACAAUAAUAAAAUAAAGCUUAUGCAAUACAGGUGAUGCAGUUUUGCCUGCCUUUCCUGCCCAGUAUUGUUUCAGACAUGUUUCUAAAUUGAUUCUUCAAAACCAAUUAUUUUCAUGGCUGCAUGACUAUACCAUUAUUUAUUUAAUUUUUUCAGUUGUUGAAUACUUAAAUAUUAUAACUAUGUAUAAUAUUAUAAAUAUGCUACAAUAAACUUAUUUCUGUCUAAAUCUUUGUUUUCUGGAUUAUUUUCUUAAAAGAGGAAUUGUUGAGUCAGAAAUUGUAGAAUAUAUUAAAAGCUGUGCUGAUACAUUCCCAAGCUGCUUUCCAGAAAGCUUAUAUCAAUGGACAUAUCCAUCUUAAUGUUUAGAAGUUGAACUUAUAUUAUAAAUGCCUGCCGGGCAUGGUGGCGCACGCCUUUAAUCCCAGCACUCCGGAGGCAGAGGCAGGCGGAUUUCUGAGUUCAGGGCCAGCCUGGGCUACAAAGUGAGUUCCAGGGCUAUACAGAGAAACCCUGUCUCGAAAAGCCAAAAAAAAAAAAAAAAAAAAAAGCUUUACAGAGGUUCACUUAUAUAAGCAAGGCAUUCUGAGGAGAGAGAGCCUUUCCUCUGAGGAGAGUCUGAUUUGUUUGUACUGGCAACAUGGUCUAUCCUGGGCCACAUCCUCUCAGAGACCAUUCAGAUUUGAGUGACUGUUAUGACAGGAUUUUGGACUCUGUACCCAAAAUCAGUUUGUCAUCCCCGUUCUACCUUCUCUGAGGCGCGCUCAUCCCGGUUCUACCUUCUCUGAGGCGCGCUCAUCCCGGUUCUACCUUCUCUGAGGCGCGCUCAUCCCGGUUCUACCUUCUUUGAGGCGCGCUCAUCUCUGUUCUACAUUCUCUGAGGCGCUCCUCGUCCUUGACUGCUUUGGUUAUGGUUAUUUCCUCUUCGAUCCCAUUGUCGCUAAGAAUGUUGCCGUUAUCUUUUCUCCUUCUUCAACUCCUCCCAGACCCUUCCCCACCCCACUCACCUGAUUCCACGCCCUUUCUCUCUUGAAAAAACAAUCAAAACAAACGAACAAACAAAAACCAACAACAAAAAACAAACACUGAAAAAACAUAAAAGCAGAAACCAAGAUAUACAAGCAAAAGAUCAGUAAGACAAGAAAUACCCAAACAAAGUGAUAUGACCCUGAAAGUCUACAAAAUGCCACUGA